CCCCUGGUGGCUCAGAGGAUAAAGCGUCUGCCUGCAGUGCAGAAGACCCGGGUUCAAUCCCUGGGUUGGGAA
rnacentral:tRNA from 1 species